GGUCUCGUCGUCUAAUGGUCAGGACACGCGGUUUUCACCCGACAAACAGGAGUUCGAUUCUCCUCGAGAUCACCA
rnacentral:tRNA from 1 species